rnacentral:lncRNA from 1 species
CCUUGCUUUCCUUGCGCUUUUAAGCUAGUUUUUUUUCCCUCCCUUGGAAUCUUUUCGUAAUCUGAACUUUUUACAUCAUUUGGUCAAAGAUAAAUUACUUUUCCGAUUCGUCUUGAACAAAUGAAUCGGAAAAGUAAACAACAUAGAUCAACCAGUAAGCAAAAUAUAAGCAACAAAAUACAGACCAUUAGCAACAAAUUAGCCUUCAACAAAUAAUUUAUGAUCAACUUGGCACAAUAUAGUUAUAAGUUCCUGCUUCUAACAAAUUAGCAACAUUUCCCACCUGCACAGAUGCACAUUCUCUUGAAUCCACUCUAUGUUUCCAUUCAAUUCACGUAUGAAAACAAGAUAAAGUGCACAAGACCAGAAAAAAAACAAACACUUCCGGCUGUAAAAUAAAACAAAUUAUUAGCAGUCAUUUGAAAUUGAAAUCAAAUCCACAGAUGGCCCACGUCAAUUCGAAAAGUAAUCAAAUUCAAAAAGCUGAUAAAUUACGCGGGCGAGGGUGAUUGAGGGAAGGAAGUAUUCAAUUCAAGACUAUCAUAUAUAAAGGCGGUAGGAGGACGUGAUGCUGCAGAAGUCAAUUCAGUUCGCGCUAAAACGCCUCUCAUCUUCAUUUCUCGAUCUUCUGAUAGCCAAUGACUCUCGCGCAAUACAUUGAACUUCUUACAAAAUGAAAAAAAAAAACUUGGAAAUAAUGUUUGGUUGCCGAGAAACUUGAGAAAAGCAACGAGUACGCAAAAAUCAUUGGCUACAGUAUAAAAAACGAGCGGCGAAGAUGGGAGGAGCCGGGACGAUCUGGAUCCACUUCCACAGUUUCAAGUUCUCCGUUCCUCCUCUAUGGCGGCGAAGAUCUGAUCUGAGUGGUCAGGGUUUUGAGCAGAGCCAAAGGCAAGAAAGUUAGUUCCCAUUUUAUUUUGGGUGUCAUUACACUGACCUCCCCUAAAGUUUGUCUUUAAUACACAAAAUACCCUGACGUUUUAAAAAACACAAUGACCUCCCCUGAGGUUUGAGAGAAUAUCCUUUCAAAAAAUUAUUUUUAUUUUUGUCUUCUGUAAACUCUUUUUUUAUCGUUUGAUAAAAUUUCAUACUUUUAAUCUUCGAAAGAUCAAGGUAUUAAAGAAAAAAAAUUAAAAAAAAUCAAUCAAAUGUCUUACCAUCCAAAACUAAUAGAACGUAAAAAUAUAACAAAUAGAUUAAAAAGAAACCAAAAAGAAACCCACGGCAUUCAUUUUUGUUAAAACCGGAUUCAUUAAUAAACGGGGCAUUCAUUUUUUGUUACUUUUUCUUUUUUUUCCUUUUAAUACCCUUUUAUUUUUUAAAUAAUAUAAAAGAAUAAUAAAAUACAAAAUAAAAAUACAAAAAAUAAAAUAAAUACAAAAAACUCAAAAAAAAAUGAGAGAGAGGGGGGAGAGAGAGAGAGAGAGUGUGGAGGGAUGAGAGAGAGAUAGUGGGGGUAUUUUGAUCAUUUUUGUAAGAAACAAGGGGGGGGGGGUUUCCAGGGUGUUAGGAUAUUCUCUCAAACUUGAGGGGAGGUCGUUGUAAUUUUUGAAAUAUCAGGAGUGCUUUGUGUAAUAAAAGCAAUCUAGGGGAAGUCAGUGUAAUCCCCUUUUAUUUUUGUUUCGCAUUGAAUUCAAAAAGAGAAAUAGCUAGGUUACAACAAAAUUUGUCAAACAAGUAUACAACUCCUUGAAACAACGUCCGUUUUUACUGAAAAUCAAUACAAAAAUGUAUCGUUUAUUUAUCCAAACAAAAUUUAUAAACAAGUGUAACGUACCGUGAAACGACGUCGUUUUAGCCGAACCAAGCUCAUUUUUUACCUUUAUUAAAAUAUCAAUAAAUACUAAAUAUGGAAAAUAUAAACAAAAAUAAAUUCAAACUUUCACAUCAAAUGUCCUACCUUGAACUUUAAAUUUUUUUAUUAACACCAAAAAAUUUAAGUCUUAUCAUCAAUUAGAUCCUUAAUCCAUAGUUAUCAGAACCGAACCGUGAUUGAACUGGCAAAGCAUCGGUUCAAUGGUUCAUGGUUCAACCGUGGUUCAACCGGUUAUAUUAAUAAAUAAAUAUAAAAUAUUUUUAACCUAAAAAUAAUCAUUAAAAAUUUAUAAAUGGGAUAAAAUACUCUUUUUUAUACAAUAUUCAACAUAAGUACAAAUAAUAAAUACCUAUAAAAGAUAGUACAAAAUAAAAUUAUACAAAUAUUUAAAAUGAUUUCUUUUUCUUUUCAAUUUAUUUUUUAACUAUUACUUAUUGGUAUUUUUUAUUAUUUUUAAAGAAAAAACUAUAAAAUUUGGUCAAUAAUGUGGCAUUAUUAAGAUAAAAUGUGCUUAUUUGUGUUUGCCUUUUAUUUUUUAUUUUUUCUUCCUAUACUUUUCUAUUUUUUAUCUUCUAUUUUAUUUUUUAGCAUUAGAUUAUUUUUUGAUAAUAGUAUCGUGGGGGGGGAAAAUAUAAAAUUCCUAAUUAUAAUAUAACAAAUAUUUAAAGAUGUGAUUUGUACAUU